rnacentral:rRNA from 1 species
UGGCGGCACGCCUAACACAUGCAAGUCGAACGCAGUAGCAAUACUGAGUGGCAAACGGGUGAGUAUAAUGUGGGAAUCUGCCUUUUGGUUUGGAAUAACACGGGGAAACUUGUGCUAAUACCGAAUAAGCCCUUACGGGGAAAGUUUUAACGCCGAAAGAUGAGCCCGCACUUGAUUAGCUAGUUGGUAAGGUAAAGGCUUACCAAGGCAACGAUCAAUAGCUGUUCUUAGAGGAAGACCAGCCACAUUGGGACUGAGACACGGCCCAGACUCCUACGGGAGGCAGCAGUGGGGAAUCUUGCACAAUGGGGGAAACCCUGAUGCAGCGAUGCCGCGUGAGUGAAGAAGGCCUUUGGGUUGUAAAACUCUUUCGUCGGGGAAGAAAAUGACUGUACCCGAAUAAGAAGGUCCGGCUAACUUCGUGCCAGCAGCCGCGGUAAUACGAAGGGACCUAGCGUAGUUCGGAAUUACUGGGCUUAAAGAGCUCG